rnacentral:rRNA from 1 species
UGGGGAAUAUUGGACAAUGGGGGGAACCCUGAUCCAGCCAUGCCGCGUGUGUGAAGAAGGCCUUAUGGUUGUAAAGCACUUUAAGCGAGGAGGAGGGUACUGGUAUUAAUACUACCAGCUACUGGACGUUACUCGCAGAAUAAGCACCGGCUAACUCUGUGCCAGCAGCCGCGGUAAUACAGAGGGUGCGAGCGUUAAUCGGAUUUACUGGGCGUAAAGCGUGCGUAGGCGGCUAAUUGAGUCGGAUGUGAAAUCCCCGAGCUUAACUUGGGAAUUGCAGUCGAUACUGGUUAGCUAGAAUGUGGGAGAAGAUGGUAGAAUUCCAGGUGUAGCGGUGGAAUGCGUAGAGAUCUGGAGGAAUACCGAUGGCGAAGGCAGCCAUCUGGCCUAACACUGACGCUGAGGUACGAAAGCAUGGGGAGCAAACAGG